CCUACGGGAGGCAGCAGUGGGGAAUAUUGGGCAAUGGAGGAAACUCUGACCCAGCGACGCCGCGUGCGGGAUGAAGGCCUUCGGGUUGUAAACCGCUUUCAGUAGGGAAGAAGCGAAAGUGACGGUACCUACAAAAGAAGCACCGGCUAACUAUGUGCCAGCAGCCGCGGUAAUACAUAGGGUGCAAGCGUUGUCCGGAAUUAUUGGGCGUAAAGAGCUCGUAGGUCGUUUGUUACGUCGGAUGUGAAAACCUGAGGCUCAACCUCAGGCCUGCAUUCGAUACGGGCAAACUAGAGUUUGGUAGGGGAGACUGGAAUUCCUGGUGUAGCGGUGGAAUGCGCAGAUAUCAGGAGGAACACCAAUGGCGAAGGCAGGUCUCUGGGCCAAUACUGACACUGAGGAGCGAAAGUCUGGGGAGCGAACAGGAUUAGAUACCCUGGUAGUCCAGACCGUAAACGGUGGGCACUAGUUGUGGGAACCUUCCACGGUUUCUGCGACGCAGCUAACGCAUUAAGUGCCCCGCCUGGGGAGUACGAUCGCAAGAUUAAAACUCAAAGGAAUUGACGGCNGAGAGNGCGAGACGACGACGAGGAGAG
rnacentral:rRNA from 1 species